rnacentral:rRNA from 1 species
AUUGAACGCUGGCGGCAGGCCUAACACAUGCAAGUCGAGCGAGCGGCGGACGGGUGAGUAAUGUCUGGGAAACUGCAGGAUGGAGGGGGAUAACUACUGGAAACGGUAUCUAAUACCGCCUACCAUCAGCUUUCCCCAGAUGGGAUUAGCUAGUCGGUGGGGUAAUGGCUCACCUAGGCGACGAUCCCUAGCUGGUCUGAGAGGAUGACCAGCCACACUGGAACUGAGACACGGUCCAGACUCCUACGGGAGGCAGCAGUGGGGAAUAUUGCACAAUGGGCGAAAGCCUGAUGCAGCCAUGCCGCGUGUAUGAAGAAGGCCUUCGGGUUGUAAAGUACUUUCAGCGAGGAGGCGUUACCGACAGAAGAAGCACCGGCUAACUCCGUGCCAGCCGCCGCGGUAAUUC